GUCUAGCCUGCCCACUGAAAUUUUUUAAAUGGCCGCAGUAUCUUAACUGUGCAAAGGUAGCAUAAUCAUUAGUCUUUUAAUUGAAGGCUGGUAUGAAUGGUUGGAUGAAAUAUUAACUGUUUCAUAUAAAUUUAUAAUAGAAUUUUAUUUUUUAGUUAAAAAGCUAAAAUAAUUUUAAAAGACGAGAAGACCCUAUAAAUCUUUAUAUAUAAGUUAUUUUAAUUAUAUAGAUAAAUUAAAUUAUUAUAAAUUUAUAUAUUUUAUUGGGGUGAUAUUAAAAUUUGUUAAACUUUUAAUUUAUAAUAAACAUAAAUUAAUGAAUUAUUGAUCCAUUAUUAAUGAUUAAGAAAUCAAGUUACUUUAGGGAUAACAGCGUAAUUUUUUUAGAGAGUUCAUAUUGAUAAAAAAGAUUGCGACCUCGAUGUUGGAUUAAGAUACAGUUUUAGGUGCAGCAGCUUAAACUUA
rnacentral:rRNA from 1 species